rnacentral:rRNA from 1 species
UACGGAGGGUGCGAGCGUUGUCCGGAAUCAUUGGGCGUAAAGGGCGCGUAGGUGGCCCGGUCAGUCCGUGGUGAAAGCGCGGGGCUCAACCCCGCGUCGGCCAUGGAUACUGCUGGGCUUGAGCACUGUAGAGGCAGGCGGAAUUCCGGGUGUAGCGGUGGAAUGCGUAGAGAUCCGGAAGAACACCGGUGGCGAAGGCGGUUCUCUGGGAAUGUCCUGACGCUGAGGAGCGAAAGUGUGGGGAGCGA